GAAAUUAAGAUAUCUGUGUAUGGAAAAAGCAUCUGUUAUAUACCCCUCGUUUCUGACUUGUUAAGAGUUUGUUAAUCAUUAACAUGUAAAUAGAAAAAGCCAGUCAAAAGAGAAAAAUAUUUCAUGUUAGGUAGAUCUUUUACCACCAUUUCUAGUGCUGGAAAGAUAGAAUGCAUCGAGGUAGGGACCCUCCCUCAGCACAGUAAUGUUUUAUAUGCUUUAUAAAACAACUACCUGCUAACUAAAUUCCAUCUGUCCAAAAGUCUCCAGGAAGCACAGUAUUGCCCUAGAUUUUGGCAAACCGUUAUACGAGGUUUAGCCCCAUAUUAGCAUUUUAAUUGCUGGCUGAUUGCUUUUAUGUUGCAAAACUCAGUUCACAACAGUAUGUAAGUUGCAAUUAGUUUUUACUGUGUGAUUCAUUAGUUCCUAUAAAGCAUGUUGUGCUGCAACAUUUGGAAGGUAAUACGCUGGAAACAUUACAGCUCGCAUUAAAAAGUGUUGAAUGGCAUUGAAAAUGUACUAGUCCUGACAAACACAAAGACCACACGUGAUGGCAGGACAUAUUCUCUCAGAUGAGGUUUGGCUGACAGCUGCAGAUAAAGUUGUUUCAUAUUGACAGGUUUUCCACAUAAACAGAAUCUCAAACACGCAGUCUGUUCCAUACGGGUUCACAUCUGUGUGGGGUUUGGGGUUUUGUGGGGUUGGUGGAGUGGACACAGGUGUGGGAGUUUCCUUUAUGAGGGUUUGACUGCAGAGCUCAGCCAGGUUUGUGAUGUUCCUUCAGAGGAUAUCCGACGUCUUUUUCGUGCCUGGAGAAUCACGUUUCUUUUGGAGAUUCUGUCUUGUUCUCAGUGCUUGUGAUGGUGAGGUGUGUGUGAAAAACAGCUCGGAGGAGCUGAUGCUGAACCCCUCUACAGCUACGUACCACAAAGGAUUUUCCUUCAGACCAGUUUAGUCCGGUGAUCUGGAGUGUGCAAUCACAACUUCCCCUUGGCUUGGGUUCCUGCACAUGCAUUUGGGACUAAGAUUUGGAGUGCAUUUAGUGUGCAUGUGGAGAAGAGCUUCUGCUGUGGUUUCCUCCAAAGGAAAUUUAUUUUGCCUGCACCAACACUGCACUGCAGACCAAACCAGUGCAUAGGAAGUCAGGACCAUUUGGGGAUUUUCUUCCAAACCUCUUUGCUGCUUUGAAACAAUAACUGCCCUGAUGCAGACACAACCAGUAUGAACUAGAUGUGAUUGGAAGUUUUUUCCUACGUGACUUGUCCAUACUAACUUGAACAAAUCUGACUGCUCUCACCCUUUCCUUGUUGUGGCUUGUUGUGGGAAUGGGACUGAGGGUGAGUUGUAAACCCUUUCUCUAACGCUGAGCUGAGUGGGCUGUGGACUGUGGCUGAGGCACAGUGAAGCUGCGUGGGAUUCUUUGGCUGCGACCCAUGACGGGAUAGACAGCCUGGCUUCGGGUCUGCCCAAAUAUCUGGACAGAAGCAACAGUACUAAAACGCCCACUAGAAACCACUAAUUGCACUAGAAGCUGUAUUUUGGGGCAGAUUUUCCCCCCUUUUAAUUCAAGUUGGUUUGAGCUUUUCAUUUAAAGUUAGAAAUCAUGCUAAGAGAACACUUUGAGCACGAUUUUCCAGUGUAAGGCUGUUAUUAAACAUCCUUGAUCAGCCCUCUUGAUUGUUGAAUUUGUAAGGUUUCGUUUUGGCAUGGUAAUACAGACUUUAAAAAGGAAACUUCUUAUGAAAAGACUCAGUGGUUGGUUAUAUAAAAAAAAGACAAACAGAUGUGGGUAGCAAUAAAAUCACACCAUGAUGUCUUUUAAUUCCA
ensembl:lncRNA